UCUGGGCUGAGCCAUAUGUGAUUUUCCUGAUGGGCAGCACUGGGCCACAGCUGGGGCUCUGGUUGGCUGUGACCUCCCCCAGGGCCUGGCUGCAUCUCGGGUCCCUGUGGACAGAGCUCUCCGGGCUGCAGAUGAGAGUUCUGUUCUUUUUGGGAAGGAGGGGGUCUGGUCAGGUUCUGCCUUUAGUUUGUGGUGUGACCUUUAGCAGUUCACUCAGCCUCUCUGGGAUCUUGGUGGAAACAGGGCUCUGAGGUUCCUUUCAGCCAUGCUUAUGGCUUCAGGUCAUCCGGCACACACAGGGCAGGGGUCCUCACUGGGGGGGUGUGAGCCGACAGCUGACCUGCUGGAGAGGCCAGAGGGCGGCCGGACGGAGCUGAGUCCCGCUGCCUUGCCGUCGCUGCGGGUGGACAGUUGCCUCCCUACUCUGAGCCCGUGUUCUCCGUUGUAAAAUCGGCAGCAGAAGGCCCUCCUCACAGGAUUCUGGGAUCAAGUGAGAUCUUCCGUGUAAAUGACCAUGUACAAACUGUAAAGUGCAAUAGAAAAUGUGGUGUGUGAGGAAAAUAAGGCCGAGGGGGUGAUGUGUGGCACAUGACGGGAGAUCCCAGAGCCGCAGUGCGGGGACAGGCGCUUCCCCAUAUCUGCUCGUGCCGCUGUAAGCAGCCCUGGCUCUUGAGUCCAGGACCUCACAAGGUCCUCAUUAGACUCCUGUGGUCUUCCAGCAGGUGCUCAGAACCCCACCCGAAGAGCCCAGGGAGGCUGUGGUCCUACCCAGCAGGUCUCACACAGGCCCACGGCUGGGGAUGCAGGCAGGAGGAGGGAGGUGGCUGCCCUGCCCCUCUCCUGAGCUGGCGGCUCUAUCCUGAGCAGUUCUCGCGGCCUGUUUGCUCUCAGGGGAAAGGCUCACGCCCCCCAUCUUAGCCCCAGGGCUGUAAGUGGGUGCUGGUGAUGGGAUGGUGUGGCGCUCCUGCUGUGGGUGCUGGUGAUGGGAUGGUGUGGCGCUCCUGCUGUGGGUGUCGCCAGGAGGCUCUUUGGAUUCUUUGGGAAGGGGUGUCACCUGGUCAGGUGGUACGCUCCCCGGUCACUAGCGGUAUACACGGGAAGUGGGGUGAACACCUGCUGCUCAUGGUACCGAGUGAUUCUUGCCCGAGUGGGCAGCUGGGCAGACGCCCUUCUGGGUCUUGGAGUCCAAAGAACUGCAGAGUAGCCCAAGGGGUGUGGGUCAGUUUUGAGUGGGAGCCAAGUCUGGGAGCCCGUGUGCAUCAUGUUUGGGUCAGGUUGGCUUGGCCACCACUGAAAUAAGCAAUAAGUCCGGGCUCCUGGUACCUGCGGAUCUCCUGCAGACAGGCCCAGAGAACAGCCUUGAAGCCACCUUUCCCCUCACGGGGACUGACCCUGUCUUUAAUGCUGCAGUGGCAUCCAGGAUCAGUGGAAUGUUGCUUUGAGAACCCUCCUGCCUGUUACAGAGGCAGCACAAAGCUGGUGCCCCCUGGGCCAACACGGCACUGGGAUGGCUUUCUAGGACAGAACUCUGUUGGUGACAGUCACAUCUCAAACUAAUAGCUGAUUUUAAAAGCCAGCAGCAGCGACGCCACGUACUUGAAUACAGGUGGCAGUUGCAGAGCCGUGGGCUGUAGAGGGUCAGAUGGGCCUUCCCACAGGGGAACCCUGGGGGCGCUGCAGCUCAGGGUGACUCCCGGCUCUGUCACUAGCAGGGAGGGCAACCCCUUCCUUCUGGAGCCUUAGCUCUGAAAGCCCCCAGCGGGGGUGCCCUUUCAGAUGCCCCCUUUCCAUUUCGAAGGCUCUGAUGCUUGAUCUUGAAGCCAGACGCGGCACUGGCACUCGGCUUCCGUUUCCACUGUGACAGACGGAGGUCUCCUUUCUAGCCCCAGCCCAGCGGCCAAGCCCAUCCUGGCCUUAGAACAUGCUGAGCACAUUUUGUAGGGUGGCACCUUUCUAUCCAAGUUACUAGCUACACGUCAGUGUUUAAAGAGAAAAAAGUGACCUUUCAUUUUUUUUUCUUGAAACUUGAGGAAACAAGAUACAUACUACUGAUUUUUUUUUUUCCUUAAAGAAAACUAAAUGCAUGACUGCAGAGCGGUAGAGGUGUAUAUUUUUCAUACCGUGGGGGGAAAGUAUUUGUGCUGCUUUUUGGAGAUGGACUGGAACGUCUGGUUUCUGUCCCCGGGCCCGGCAGCUACGUCUUAUUUUCUGUAGAAGGUGCCACAGUGAGACCUGGAGCCACCCCUUCCUGCCCUGGCGCCGUUUAGAGCUGGGAGCCUGUGGACUCCCGGCCUGUUUCUACCUUCUAUUCAACCACUCUGACGUGGGGAGACAAGAAUAGAACUUUUUGAUAGUGUGGUAAAAACAUUGAUUUGAACUAUUUUAGUAAAAGGAGUAAAAACAAGAUUGUGAUAGUGUCUACUUUGAGCUAGAUAAAUAAAGGCCUCUUUGUGAGCCUCCUGGCUGGGUGCUCAGUGCUUGUUUCCGUCACGGGUGGCAGGGUCAGCAGGCAGAGACAGGGCCAAGGCCCCUCAAGCACCUCAGAUGGGGGCUCAGUCGGGGCCCCUUCCACAGACACAGCCCUGGCCCCUCAAGGUGGAUGGUGAGGCCGCUGCUCCUCCAGCUGCCUCCGUCUCAUUGCAGGCCAGAAGUGGAAAGGGUUUCAAACCCAAGCCUGUGUUCCUGUGUGUGUUCUAUGCAGCAAGGCUUAAAAGUUUCCAGCUGGUUUGGAACUCAACCAGGUCCUCCAAAGGAAACCAAGGCAGGCAGAGGAUGGGUGCAGGCUGGCUUGGCAGGCAAAUGUGCCGAUCCACCCAGAGUGCCCUGGGAGGCAGUGGGGUUGGCGCUGGCUCCUGUGAACUGCAGCCAGGCCUCUCCCGGUACCCAGGGUCCGGAAGGAGGGCUUCUACAAAUUUUAUCACCCAGGGACUGCGAAGGCCUGGAGCCCUACCUUCCACCCAUUCACAAAGAAAGGGAUAGUUUCAGAACUGCUUUUAUUUGGAUAACUGACUGAAGGAGUCUCAUUUGUAACCAAGAUGGAAUUCACAGUAUGUUGUUACAUUCACACUUAAAAAAUAUAUCUCUAUGUACAGGAAUUUGCAAAUAGAUGUAAACAUACAUUACUUUCCAAGUACAUUUCUCCCCUUCUCCUUGGAGGAAAAAAAAAAGCCAUCCAACGAGGCAACCCCUUCAAAAUAAUUUUAAUACAAAGGAUGCAAACAUCUA